CCAGACUCCUACGGGAGGCAGCAGUGAGGAAUAUUGGUCAAUGGGCGCGAGCCUGAACCAGCCAAGUCGCGUGAGGGAAGACGGUCCUAUGGGUUGUAAACCUCUUUUGCCGGGGAGCAACGGGCGCCACGUGUGGCGCCACUGAGAGUACCCGGAGAAAAAGCAUCGGCUAACUCCGUGCCAGCAGCCGCGGUAAUACGGAAGAUGCGAGCGUUAUCCGGAUUUAUUGGGUUUAAAGGGUGCACAGGCGGAGGUGCAAGUCAGCGGUCAAAUUGCGGGGCUCAACCCCGUACUGCCGUUGAAACUGCAUCCCUUGAGUGCGCGAGAAGUAUGCGGAAUGCGUGGUGUAGCGGUGAAAUGCAUAGAUAUCACGCAGAACUCCGAUUGCGAAGGCAGCAUACCGGCGCGCAACUGACGCUCAUGCACGAAAGCGUGGGUAUCGAACAGGAUUAGAUACCCGCGUAA
rnacentral:rRNA from 1 species